rnacentral:misc_RNA from 1 species
UUAAAAAAAAAACCCAUUCCAAUCACUCUUUAUUGUCGCUGUACUCAGAAAAUUAUAACUUCCACAUUUGUGUCGAGGUAAGCUCUUCCAUUUUUUGGUUUUUGGCUUUUAAAUUAUGGCUCAAAGAAGAGGCCAAACGAACUGGACAUACCUUUUCAAUACUGAAAUAGCAUACUCGACAUCGAAAGAAGACUUUCUUGGUCAGGGUAGUUCCGGUUCUGUUCGUCGUGGCCUUUUCAAAGGGAACAAAGUCGCUGUUAAGAAAGUUCUCAAAGAUAUGUCAGCAGCAUCCAUCAAAGAGAAAAGGGAAAUCUAUUUGCAAGGGCAACUGAAACACAUAAAUGUUUUACCAAUUAUAACAACAACAGAGGAUGAAGAAUUUAGGUACAUUGUACUGCCACUAUGUUUUGGGACACUCGGAGAUGUUAUCAACCGAACUUAUAAGGGGCCUAAACUGCUGUCUGAUCUUGCGACUGAUCUUAUUGUUUUAUCUCAUAUAGCCGAUGGUCUCGACUACAUCCACUCGAGAAAUCUUAUCCAUCGCGACAUUAAACCGGACAAUAUUUUAAUUUACCGGGAUGGUUUCGUGAAAUUGUCGGAUUUUGGUCUGAGCAAGCAGGUCAACGAUCGUGGAACAUGCUCCCUCAGUGGACUUAAAGGAACUCUGAUAUGGAUGGCACCGGAAUUUCGUGGUAAUAUAGAGGAUGCCAGAGUAUCAUCGAAGAGUGACGUCUUCCCGUGUGGCUGCGUCUUUUUCGUUUUCCUCCAACGGAAUAAUGUGAAAGGAGGAAUCCACCCGUUUGGAGAUAGGAAAAACCACACCGAAAUUCAGUUCAAUAUCCUCCGUGACAAUCCAGUUAACAUCAAAAUGUUAGAUCCUGGAUGCAAUGAGUAUACUCUAAUCGAAGGAAUGAUUCGACAUGAUCCAAGAGAUCGAUCGUCUAUGACACAAGUUAAACAGCAGAUCAAGGAAUAUUCCCAAAUUGUUUCUGCUCGGAAGUGCCCUCAGAACAUUACAUGCAGCCCAGGAAGAGAACACUGCUGUGGUGUUUGGGUGCCCUGCUCCGCUUUCAGCUCCAAGCGAACCAAGUCACCGACGAAAUUAUUCCAGCCCUUACCCUCAACAACAUCCUAUGUAUGCUGCUGGACCGUCAUCAGCAGCUAACCAUCACUUACCAAAUUAUCCCGGCGGACCCUGCUACCCGUACUACCCUCAACAGCAACCAGCACAUCCGGCUGUUGGCAAUUCCAUGUACCCUGGCGGGCCUCCUGUGGGCUUUAACCCGAGUGCCAUAAGCGGAACUCCGUACCAAGGAAGCUUCAACGGUUAUCCAGGUGGAGAUCCGGUUGGGGUCCUGCCCCCUUGUCCAGGAGGAUCAUCGUUUGGUGGCUAUGGCCAACGACAACCGCCGCAGCAGCCGAUGUAU